AUGCUGCCAGGGAGCAUCCCCGCGCUUGCGCUUCUCGACCCCGCGGACCCGGACAAGCUCUACUUCUUCCUCGGCUCCUGCAUCUUUGCCGUGGACCUGCGACGGAGGAAGGUUGUGGAAUCCGGUGAAUUCGAUAUGCCGGAGCCACCAAACCAGCUGAUCGUGCGCUCUUCCCACUUAGUCCAUGCAUGGCAGUAUGAUCCUUCAAGCAGCCGGUCUGACUCUGACUCUGUCCCGGCAUGCUUGAGGCAGGAGGAGAGUGCUGCUCGGGGCAGCUGGGCUGCUGCCAUGCCUUUCAGACGUAAAACUGGUAAAUUGCAGAAGAAGUUUCGUUACAAUUUAAUCAUGCGGCAGCAACACGGAAUAAUGAUGAAGAAACCCACUUUGCAAGGAGGUUCAUAG
rnacentral:rRNA from 1 species